GCUCAGAGCUAGCACAAUAGGCUGUGAGGGGAAGCCCCACUCCCUGAUCAGGGCAGAUCAGGAGGAUUCCAAGUGUAAUUGGCCUCCGGGGAGUGUGUAAGUCACUCUGUACACCCCUUUCAGACCUCCUUAAUGCCUUGCCAGCUGGAAGGAAAAGUGCCUUCUUGUACUGCCCACAAAGGAAGCGGGGAUUGAGGGGAGUAGAAGUGGAGAAAUUAAAAAAGAGGAAAGAGACAGCGACACAAAUGAAGAGGUCUAUUCUGAUUCAGAUGAAAGAAAGAGAACAUGCUCGUGUGGAAGAUUCCCCAGCAGCUGAGAACACCUGACAGCAGAGAACGGCCAACAUUAUUGCGCACCACGCGUCAACGGGGGAACAAGCAUGGCUCCUGCCUAAAAGCUUCAUGAGCUGAAGGAGGCUGGCAAAUUACUCCAUAAUUACAGCCAUCCUUGCAGCAGGGCAGUAACAACAAGCAGCAUUGUCUCUACAUCUCGAGGAGUAGCUGGAUGGAAAGUGACACCUUCUGGAACUACUGGCUUCUUUGAGAGCAGACUAGUCAGAGGGUCCCUGCCUGAGGAUGUGGCCUUUCAUGAGGAUGGUCCCCACCCAGUCUCCCUUUUCUUUUCCUCUUACCUUAUCCAAACUCCCUGUCACACACACCUCUGUCCCUUUGCCUUAAAACUACAUAUAUGCCCCAAACCCUUUCUCAUUGGUAUUCUCUCCCAUGACCCUUCUGACCCUGUGUGUUAAUUAUGAUGUUGCCUAUCCCAGGUAGGGUGGGCAAGUGGGCAUGUAUGGUUUAAGAAUCUCUCAGGGGUUUAUGGAGGGGAGCCAAGCACAAUUUUGUAGGCUGGUGAGUGGGAAGGGGAGCCUGUGCAGUUGGGGGUGAAAUCUAGAAAUAAACCCUCCUGUUAUUUACA
rnacentral:lncRNA from 1 species